ACAUCGCGUCGCCACACCUCGACUCUCCCCCGCUCUCUCAUCUGCUUUCUCCCUGCUUCCUUCUCGUCCGCUGUGCUGCGUCGUCUGGCGCCUACCCCCACCCCUGCCGUUGCCUACUGUGCCCAUGUCUGCGUUACCUUUAUCCCCCCUAUAUGUUCAUAUUGGGCAGAAAAAGUACAAUGUGAGCCUCGUUCUGUACGUGGUCGUGCAGUUCGUGGCGUUCCUUCUGGUGCUCGUGGGCACGCCCCUGGACAUGUUCCGUAGUAAAAUGGAGACCGGUUACGGUACCGUAAAGUGCAUCACAUUAUGGGGUGUGAAGGAGAACUGCGCUUCCCUGGAUUACGACCUCACGAUGUACUUGUUUUUCAGCAGCUGCGAAACACGUAUUUUACGUUUUCGCAAAUCACAGCGGUGUGCCAUCAUCUCCAUUCUCGUGUACAUGGCUGGACUUAUCGCGGGUAUUGUCAACCUGCACGGCUACACUACCCUCCGCUGGGUCUGCCUGGCGCUGAACAUCGUUGGAAGCGUGACCGUGUUUGUUGUGUGGGCGGCCAUGGCGGUGACGUACAACAAGAAUGAGGACUCUCGUUGCACGCGGCUAAAAGCCUUGAAUUACGAGUUUGGUGUAGGGUUUUUUCUGCUCGUGGUAGCCUGGAUACUGGAUAUCAUCAACAUUAUCCUUCUACCGCUGUCUUUCACGUACACGUACGACAAAGAGCACCAAAUGACCGAGCUACCGACAUCAGAACAGUAUUAGAACAGAAAUAAGACCACACAGCGGAGGGCGGACUUGACAGCGGCGCGGCCCCUCCUCCGCACUGGCGUCCUCGUGGUGCACCUGGUGUCAGCGAGAAUGAGGGUGCACGAACUGCGGGCUCCCGUGUGUGCCCUUCGCCGACCCAGCGCUCUCGCCCCCGCUGCCGUCACCUCUCUCUUUUCGCGCUGCCUCGCAUUGCCCCCGCUGUGCGCGUGCAUUUCAUGACGAGUGUGGCUUUGCGCGUCUCCUCUUCCUCCUCCCCCACUCCCUCCCCCGAAGCGCCGUUGUGGUGCGCGCGCAUGCCUGCUGGGUCGUGUGUGGCAGCGCGGCGCGCAGGGGGAGGCGCCGCGUGCUGGUAUUCACGGCCGCGCUGCCCCCUGCGUGUGUCCUCCCACGCGCGGCUGCCGUCAGCGUUUCCGUUUCCUCGCGUUGUGUUGCCGCGCUCAUGCGCGCGCCGACACGCCGACGCAUGCGGCCUUCCGCCCACUGAUCCCCCUCCCCACACCCCACCCCUCCGCUGUGAGCUGCUCGCCUUCAGCAGCUGCUGGGACGAGCGCCCGUGACGGCCGCCCGGCGCAACCGUUGGCGGAGCGCGGAGGAGGAGGAAGUCGCGGGGUCCCGGCAGGGUCGCCGUGCGCCGGACCGUGUGCGCGGGAAAGGAAGAGAGCAGGCGUGUGGCGAAUGCCCCCCCCCGGCUCGGAGGGGCAUGCGGGCGCGACGCAGGAGAGAAGCCGACGCCGUGGCAGGGAUGGCGGGGAGGCGAAGAGCCGCACACGGCGUCGGGAGUCCGUCUGCCCUUCUUCAACUGCAUACCCCGCCGUCGCGGCCGCGCGUGUUUCUGGUGUCCCCCUCGCGCGCACGGUGGACUGUGUGGAUGGAGAAGGGUGAGAGGAUCGGUGCGAGGUGUCAGAGGAGGUGGUGGCGGGGGUGGGGAGUAGAGGGGUGGGCUAGCAGGCGCAUGCGCCCCUGCGACCCUCCUCCCCCUCGAUCCGUGAGCGGCCCCCGCGACCCUCCCUCCCUAACGCUGCCGUUGUUGUGGAGUGCCGCCCCACGCUCUCGCCUUACUCGACGCUCGUCUCUUUCGAGCUCGCUCAUGCUUGCUGUUCUGCUCUGCGCGCAGAGAGAGGUGCGUGGUGUGCGCGUGUGCUGGCGGAGGCGGCUGGCUGUGGCGACGACGCAGGCACGUGCAGCAGCCGUGCAGCACAGCAGGCGCGUACACGCAUACACACCUAUACACGCGGGAACGGGACUGCAGGCGAGGGGCAGGACCGGAGAAUGCGCGGCGGUACGAGCGAGUGCGACGGUGGAGCGGAGCAGAGGCGGCGCUGCUUUCCUGCUCGCUCCUCUGGCGUCUGGCUCGAGCCCGUCUGCGUGUGCGCCCCCUGUGUCGCUGUGUCUCCUCGCCUCUCUCCUGCGCGAUUUGUUUCGAUGGCUUCGUUGCUGACGCACCCCACCGAGUCCUCCAGGCUCCGCCGUGUGGAGUUGCCACGCCGUAUGUGACGGGUUGCAGCGCACCGACGCGACUGUGGGGAGAGAAGCACUGCAUCCAGGUCGACUACACUGCAGGGCCUCACAGGGCCCUGACCGGAGGCUGGGCAGCAUUCUCCCUCGGCUCGUGCGGCACGUAGAGCCACCGCUCCCCACGAACGCCCUGCUACCCUUUGCUACCCCCUCCCCACCGACAGAGGCCAGCGCCUCCGUCAUGGAGCACGACCCUGAGGGGGCGGCCCCGCUGGGAGCGCGGCGUGCCGUGCGCCCCGGUGCGUGUGGCGCCGAUGCAGCGGCAGGACGGCUCGUCCUCGACGACGCGGAUGUGGCCGCCGUGCCACAGGGCGUAGGCGGGCCGUGGCUGUACGCGCGCAUCUGCCGGCUUGUGCGUGGUGGCGUGGAGGCGGUGAGAAGGAAGUGCAUGCCUCGCGGACUCGGACAGACAUGCGAAUCAGCACACCUAAACAUAAGCAAAACGACGCGUGCAUAUAUGCACCGAUAUCUAUAUCUAUAUAUAUAUAUGGGUGUGUGGAUGUCUGUAACGACAAAACCGCCAAACGCCUGUUAUUACGCUGUGCUCGCCUGACAGGGCGGAGGGCGUGCGUGCGCUUUUUACUCCUCUCUUGCUUGUCCUGUGUUUCCUUUGCGGCACGCCUUCCUGCGCGCGUGCCUGCUCGUUAUCAUGCUUGCUUCCGUUGUCCG
rnacentral:misc_RNA from 1 species